rnacentral:ribozyme from 13 species
UUUUUUUUUUUUUUUUUUUUUUUUUUUUUUUUUUUUUUUUUUUUUGCCCCCGAUGUUCACAACUGCAUAAACUCCAACAUGGGGGUGAAGAC